ACUCAUGAUAUCACUUCGAGAACGACUUGGCAUGAUGAUCGGGAAGAUAUUCGCCGUUAAUCGCCUUUAACCGCGAGGUGUUGUGGAUAUGAUCAGGUUUUAGUGUCUAUGUAGUGCAUUUUUUUCAGGAAGUUAGAUUUGAAUUUUCAUGCCAAUUAGCUAAAAACCAAUUGGCUACACUAAAAUGAAGCCAUAUAAAAAAUGUGACAACUUUUUUCGUUUGUUAUAUUUUUUUAGUUUUGGAUUAUUCUCAAAAUAGAAUGUGGUAGUGCUUUGAAUUGAGAUAGUUGCGUAUUUAGUUUAUCUGCUAAGCUAGAGCCAGUCCAAGAUUUAUGGAACUUGAAACAGUUAUGGUUUGGAGGUUGGAUGAUUCAUACAUAUGGAUAACUUGGAGAUUGAGGAUGUUUUCCGCUGUCCUCAGAACGGGCCAUGUGCCAAGCUAUCACUGGCUUUGCCUGCUUUUAGAUACCAUCUGGGAGCAUCUCUUCCUCUGGAAGAUUACCCAAGGAGCACUAGCGCUUGGAGAAAAACUGGAAAGGCGUGGUAUCAUCAACAGCAUCACUUGUCAUCACUAUGGAGAACCAAAGACCACAGAUCAUGUGUUUCUUCAUUGCACCUUCACCCGACAAAUUUGGUCCUCACAUAUCUGGGCUUCUCGUUUUGAUCCAACGGAAUGUGUCUCCUUUACUGAAGCCUUUCUAUGUUCAACAGAGGCCCCUAACCUCCCACCUUUGGGAGUGGCAGUCAACUUAUUUCCUUGGAUUUGUUGGGGAAUCUGGACAGCAAGAAACUUCUAUGUCUUUGAAAACAGAAUCUCCAUGCCUGUUGAGAUCAUCUCGAAAUCCAUCCGAACUGCAAGAGAAUGGAGUCUCGCUCAAUCAACUCCGACCUCAGCCCCUUCAACUCAUCACCAUCAUAUGCCCCUUCCUAUAUCGACAUCUCCAUCUGUAGUGUGUUUUACUGAUGCAGCUUGGCAGGCUGGAUCAAACAGAGCAGGCUGUGGAUGGAUUCUCAAGGAUCAUCGCGAUGAAUGCCUGCAACAGGGGACUAGGACUUUCAACCACACGUCCUUACCACUGAUGGCCGAAGCUCUCGCAGUCAGGUCAGCUCUUCUCAACGCUCGAAGCUGGCAUUACCAGAAUCUGUGUUAAAUCAGAUUGCCAAGCACUUGUUGCUAUCAUCUCCUCGAAACAUCACCCGGCGGAUCUCCACGGACAUCGAGCAUCUAUCCUUCUCCUUUGAUUGUAUCUCCUUUGUUUUUAUUUCCAGAAACUUGAACUUUGUGGCUGACUCCCUCGUGAAAUCAGCUUUGUACUCUGGCCCCACCAACUAGUUUGCUUGGUAUAUUCAGUGUUCAGAAAAAAGAUACCAUCUGGGAGUUUCUAUUUCUUUUUUUUUUUUUGCUGCUUGAAUAGGAAUUGAUGAAGAUAAAGUGAUGGUUCCUAACACCUCAUCUGUUUUGGUUGGAGUAAGAGCCAUUUUGUAUGGUGUCUUAGUUCUAUAUUGUGUUCUUCUCUUGUUUUUCUGGCCGUUAAUAUGGUUGAUUUUGGCCACGGUUUCUCUUUGUUUGUGCAUAUACUGAUUUGGUGUCUGAUGUGUGCUUACAAAUGAUUUUUACAUGCAUAAAAUUCCAAAUUGGAAAUAAGAAAGUUCUGAUUCACUGGCUUUUGGUGAUGAACCGCAAGAGCUCAGAAUUUCCAAUGAUUAAUGUUAAUUUGGUAUGUUUGGCAUUGGUUUUGAGUCUCUUUGUUUUUAUUUUUAUCUUUGACUGAUUAGUUAAUUUGGUGUGUUUAGCACUAGUUUUAAGUCAUUUCGGUGUGCCUUGGUUAUUUUUCUGGAGGAGAUUUGCUUGGAGUCACAGCUCAAGUUAUCGAUAUGCCUCUUAGCUGUACGUAAUACUCCUUAUCUAGCUAUACUGUGUCCUGAUUUAGGUGUCUCUUUAUUACCGUUUGUCCUCUGUACGAAUAAGUUGUCUGCACUACUAAAUACUUAUCUGGUGGGCCUAACCAGAUAUGCCAGGUCUUACGCUCAAAUCUGGUAACUCAUGAAGAUGUGACAUAUUAGUUAGGUGGUAGCUUCUCAAGAUUGUGAUGCUUGGUUGCUUAAAGCCUAUCUAUACCUUAGGCCUUAGUUAAGCUCCUGCUUUCUAAUAUUUCUAGGAUUCCACCUUAUCUGGUGACAUGUUAUAAUAUAUAGGCAGUUUGUUUCAUAGUCUUUAGUCUUCCUUUUAUUACCUUUAUGUCAAUUACAUGGUUUUGAUAACGAAUCUCAUAAUUUGUAUGCUCUGGUUUUUGAAUUCGCAAUUCUGCUUCCAUGGCCAUAGAGUGGUCACUCGCUUACUUUAAAUAUUGAAUUAAAACGUCAGAAUUUUUUUCUGAGCUGAGAUCUUACCCAUGAACAGAUUUGAAUACACACCCGGAGAUCCGCAUACAGUUCUCGGAUCCUCAACACUGGCCAAAACAUGUUCUUGUUAGAUACACAUGGUAUGCUGCUUUUGUUGACCGCUUUAGACCCUUUUAUCCUCUUUCCUUGCUAACAAGGUUGCGCAUACGGUCUAGUCGCGGAGAUAAAGAAACAUCAUGUUACUGAUAUUUGGCUGAGACACUGUUUGUGAUGCAGGAAGGAGCAGUGAGAGAUUGAUGUGUCCUCAGGAUUUUAUGCACUAUUUGGCUCAGGUUUAUUUUUGUUCUUGCUAGCUAAUUAAUUAGUAUAAACUUCAAAGGGAAUAGUUAUACACUUAAUGUAUUCUCUUAUGAUGUUAACUUGUGAUCAGCUCUCUCAUUCUCUUUCGUACUCUCCAUUGGCGUCUUACAAUCUACACGAGAGAAACUGGCGAGGUAAAUGACGUUCCGUUCCUCUCCAAUCCAAACGUUAUAUCUUUCUAUCUUUGAACGUUUUUCUUGAAAAAAAUGUUGGUUUUUGCAAGCAGCUCGAAUGUUGGAGAAUUUGUUAAGGUUGAGUGAGAGUCACACUGAAAAGUAUAUGUAUGUUGCUGCUAUGUUUAGUUGCUUAGAAUUGGUUUUCAAAGUCUUUGUGUAGGAUGUUACCUUCACUUUUUCAAUUUUAGUACCACACCAAACGUUGACAAGUUGCUAAGCUGGACAUAUACAUAGAGCAAUGAUUGGUCUUUUACGUGAAUAAAAUAACUACACUUUUGAUCUGAUCUGACAAAAGAAAGAGAACAAAAGUGAGAUCAGUACGUAGUAAUUGGCGUAGAUUAUUUAUUGAACUAUAUAAAACAAAGAUGAGAGAAGAGAGAAAAUGAAUAGGAAGCAAUGCAAUAAAUGAAACCAACCACCAACUACCCUUACACCGUCUACUCUCACUUUCAUGCAUUUGCAGGCACUCUUGGCUCUUUCUCUAUAUAAACACAAACGCUAUUAGCUCUCUUCAUCAUCCAAACCCAUUACUUACUUAAGCAUAAGAGAUAAAACUUAAGAUUAUGGAGGGGCUCUUAAAGUUGUCGACGUUGGUGAUUGUGUGCAUGUUAGUGUCCGCUCCAAUGGCGUCCGAGGCAGCAAUCUCUUGCGGCGCAGUCGCCAGCAACUUAGGCCAAUGCAUUAACUACCUGACCCGAGGUGGUUUCGUUCCUCGAGGGUGUUGUUCUGGCGUUAGGAGGCUCAACAGCAUGGCUCGUACCACCCGUGACCGCCAACAAGCUUGUCGCUGCAUCCAAGGAGCAGCUAGAGCCUUGGGUUCCAGACUUAACCCAGGCCGUGCUGCACGUCUUCCUGGUGCUUGUCGUGUUAGGAUCGCUUACCCCAUCAGCGCAAGAACCAACUGUAACAAAGUCAGGUGAAUAUGAGAGGAUAUCGACGUCGCUGAAGGUUUUUUAAAUAUAAUUGUUGAGAGAGUUUUAAAGAAUAAUUAAGAUGUCACUAGUAUAAGUGUAUCAUUUUACUGUUGUGUGUUGUUUUUAGAAUUUGUGUGUUUCAUGUCUUUCUUUAUAUACGAAGGUCUAUUAAUUGCUCAUCUGUGUUAUGUAUUCCUCUAAUGAUAUUAUGGAACUACGAUAUGUAUUGUUUC